AUUGAACGCUGGCGGCAGGCCUAACACAUGCAAGUCGAACGAGUGGCGGACGGGUGAGUAAUGUCUGGAACCCUGCCUGAUGGAGGGGGAUAACUACUGGAAACGGUCGCUAAUACCGCAUCCCCUCGUCUGUGCCGCGAUGGGAUUAGCUUGUAGGUGGGGGAAAGGCUCACCAAGGCGACGAUCCCUAGCUGGUCUGAGAGGAUGACCAGCCACACUGGAACUGAGACACGGUCCAGACUCCUACGGGAGGCAGCAGUGGGGAAUAGUGCACAAUGGGCGCAAGCCUGAUGCAGCCAUGCCGCGUGUAUGAAGAAGGCCUUCGGGUUGUAAAGGACUUUCAGCGGGGAGGCGUUACCCGCAGAAGAAGCACCGGCUAACUCCGUGCCAGCAGCCGCGGUAAUAC
rnacentral:rRNA from 1 species